rnacentral:rRNA from 1 species
CGAUACAUAGGGGGACUGAGAGGUUAACCCCCCACACUGGUACUGAGACACGGACCAGACUCCUACGGGAGGCAGCAGUGAGGAAUAUUGGUCAAUGGACGCAAGUCUGAACCAGCCAUGCCGCGUGCAGGAUGACGGCUCUAUGAGUUGUAAACUGCUUUUGUACGAGGGUAAACGCAGAUACGUGUAUCUGUCUGAAAGUAUCGUACGAAUAAGGAUCGGCUAACUCCGUGCCAGCAGCCGCGGUAAUACGGAGGAUUCAAGCGUUAUCCGGAUUUAUUGGGUUUAAAGGGUGCGUAGGCGGUUUGAUAAGUUAGAGGUGAAAUUUCGGGGCUCAACCCUGAACGUGCCUCUAAUACUGUUGAGCUAGAGAGUAGUUGCGGUAGGCGGAAUGUAUGGUGUAGCGGUGAAAUGCUUAGAGAUCAUACAGAACACCGAUUGCGAAGGCAGCUUACCAAACUAUAUCUGACGUUGAGGCACGAAAGCGUGGGGAGCAAACAGGAUUAGAUACCCUGGUAGUCCACGCAGUAAACGAUGAUAACUCGUUGUCGGCGAUACACAGUCGGUGACUAAGCGAAAGCGAUAAGUUAUCCACCUGGGGAGUACGUUCGCAAGAAUGAAACUCAAAGGAAUUGACGGGGGCCCGCACAAGCGGAGGAACAUGUGGUUUAAUUCGAUGAUACGCGAGGAACCUUACCCGGGCUUGAAAGUUAGCGACGAUUCUUGAAAGAGGAUUUCCCUUCGGGGCGCGAAACUAGGUGCUGCAUGGUUGUCGUCAGCUCGUGCCGUGAGGUGUCGGGUUAAGUCCCAUAACGAGCGCAACCCCUACCGUUAGUUGCCAUCAGGUGAAGCUGGGCACUCUGGCGGGACUGCCGGUGUAAGCCGAGAGGAAGGUGGGGAUGACGUCAAAUCAGCACGGCCCUUACGUCCGGGGCUACACACGUGUUACAAUGGGGGGUACAGAAGGCAGCUACCUGGUGACAGGAUGCUAAUCCCAAAAACCUCUCUCAGUUCGGAUCGAAGUCUGCAACCCGACUUCGUGAAGCUGGAUUCGCUAGUAAUCGCGCAUCAGCCAUGGCGCGGUGAAUACGU